AUGAUCCAUGGUCAAUCUCACAGUCCAAGCAACACACAUACACUAUUUAGUAUUUUCUGCCUCCUGCCCCACCCUUGUAUUUGGCAGUGGAGGCCUUAACUUGCAACUGGGGAGUGUUGCAUGAACAUAAUCACAGCUGCAAGGAAAAUGCUGUGACAGGAGUGAUCUAGGACAUUGAAGAUUUGAAUAGGACCUUCAAAUACCACCCCUAUUUAUUACAUGGGAUUGAGCGCACUCUCAGCAGCUUUGCAGAUGACACCAAACUGUGUGGUUGACACACUGGAGGGAAGGGAUGUCAUCCAGAGGGACCUGGACAGGCUUGAGAGGCAGAAUCCUGCGAGGAGAUCCCAGUCUGAUGCAAGGUGAACCUGCUGCCACAUCUCAUCUGAUGAAUUCUCUGAUGAAAUUUCCAGCUUCUAAACUUUCAGCUAUGAAGUAGAACCGAACACCAGCACCUUCUUGCUGACCUGCAGUGUGAAGAGUCUAAAUUCUGAUUGAAUUCAGACUUUUAUCAUUGAUUUGAGAUAAGGAUUGGGACUGCAAAUUUUCAGAGAACCUGGGAAGGCAGAGGUUGCUGGUGUUGGGGGCCCAGAGCUGGACACAGCCCUUCAGCCCUAAAGUACACAGCGAACAGAGGUCUGCAUUCCCACUGCUUUGGUGAAUGAGGACAUUUCUGAAGGUCUGAGUCACUUUCAUGCUGUGUAAUGUCUGGGGGUGGCUCACAGGACACCACUUUGCACUUAUUGCUUGGUUCAGAUCAGCACUGCUGAACCUGAGGGGUUUCAGAAUCAUUCAUGAUCCCAAAUCUUCAAAGCUGAACAGUGAAUGAAAGUUGAAC